AGAAGAUCUGUCAUAAACCAAAUAAGUACGUGAGACAACCCAGGACAACUUCCUAAAAUUUUCUUCAAAAUGAAGGUAUUUAAUAUAUGGUUUUCAUAUACAGAUACAGAAAUAUUGUGUUACAGGACCCAAAGAAAAAGAAGAAACAUUAGUUGCAGACUCUAGAAGUGGGUUUGUCGUGCAUGUAUUAUGAAUUGGUUGUUGAAUUAAAUUAGUGGUUCAGAAGUAUCUAUUUAAAUCCAUAUUGUUGACAUUACAGUGAAAGCAGUGAAACCUGUCAGCAGAUGAUUAAGUUUUAUGGUUGAUGUCCACACUUUUGUAGCUUGGGAACAAUAUCAAGUUUCUGGGAAAAACAUCCUUCCUCUCUCCCCACCCUCCCUCUAUCAUAUUAAAUCAGGGUCUCAGCCUAUUGGUGUUAGUUGUGUUCUCCAAAUAAAGAUGUAUCAAAAUCA